CACUGUAGCUAAAACUGAAGGGCUUUCCACCAGAUCAGCCAAAUCAAUCCAGGCACUUUACAGCUUUGUGUUGCUGGAUCCAGCCCUGGUGAAAGGGAAAAUGAGGGGAUGGGACUUGCAGCACAGCAGGGAACUGAAUCAGGUCUUUAAAGUCCAAGCCAAUGUCCAGAGCAGGGAACCAGCCUUGUUCUCACUGUGAGUGCUGAAAAGGGACCCACCUCAGUUGACUUGAUCCAUUCUGCUCACUCUGCGCACAGUGGAAGGGACACACUCCAUCGCUGCCCACAUGCCUCUGCCUGGGACUAAACUGGGUUCAUUUCCUGGGCUUCCAAGUGCUCCAACGUGGCUAAUGCCUGUGGGAGUGUGGAUCUAGGGGCUGCAGGCUCUGGAGCUAGCAGGUCACAACUGAGUGAGGAGGGACAUGAGAACAGCAAUGUUUUCAAAAAGUCCAUUUUUGUGUGUGUGUUUUUGUUUUUCUGUGUAUCUGGAUUUCUCUGAUAUUCCUGAACAUCCAGAGGGCCUAAAGGAAACUGCCUUCAAGACUGACACCCCUCUCCUCAACCAGCUGUGGACACUGAUGUUCCAGCUCACCGUGAAAAACUCUUGAAGGCAUGGAUCUCUCUGUUCCACUCCCUUCUGCCAUCAAACAGAUGGCUUUUUGGACAUUGCUUCACUACAGAGGCUCUCAUGUGCCAGAGGCUGCUCAGAGAAUCCCAGGCCAUGGCAGAAUUCCGUGGCACCUCCUGGCCUCAGGUGCAGCUCCAGGACACUUUCCCAUCAUUACUGAGGCCCUCAGGCACUUUGUUGAUCAGAAGGCUGCUGGCAGUGACACCCCUGCAGGAUCUGUGAACUCUUACUAAGGCUGAGAUCAGGCACCACCAGAAGAGCUGGGUGCCUGCACAGCCGCAGGACUUCAUUGCUGCAUGCCUGAGUGAGAUGUUAAAGGUAACUAGUAAUUGUAUCUUAGGCAGCUGCUACAUAUUUCAAAUGCUUCUAGUUAAAGUAUUUCCAGCAGCACUCCUCCUUCCUCUCAUUUUCUUCCGGAGAGACUGUUGAGCUAUUUCUUUAUUUGAAUUCCACCUAAAACAUGAAGUGAGUGAUGUUCCAUUUUAGACUGAAAGAAAACUUACUGGGUGCUGUCUUCCUCUUCAGCAGGAUCAUAUUUUUUAACAGAAUAACAAGGCUGCAGUCUGACCAGCUCCAUCAACUCAGUAUGGAACCUGUGAUGAAAAACAGAUCUGUUGUUGGGAAUUUGCUAUGCCGUUAACACAGUCUUACAUCUCACUGCCUGUCUCCUAUCUGCAGGCAAAGGAUUACACACGCUCUACAUUCAGAGUGCAAUGACCACAGAUCUCUUCAGAGUGGGCUCAGACACCACCUUCACUUUAUGCUGAGCACUCCACAAUGGUAUAUCUGGAAGUGCAAGGUUAGAAAUGUGUGUAGCUGCACUUAGAUGUGUUGUGUCCUUGCUCAUGGCUCACGUUGACUCAGCUGCCCUGAUCCUCCACUGUAAGGUGGCUUGGGAAUUUUGAGUUGCUGUAUUGAGUCUGCACAUCAGCAAUUCUUGCAUGCUCAUUAUUAGUCCUUUUUUUUUAAAUUCAGAAUGACUCCAAGAAGUGUCAGAUGCUGUCAUUUGUCCAUCCUGUGGACCACAGAAGGACUGAACAACCCUGCCACAUGCAAAAGCAGUUUUACAAGAGACUGUGUGUUACAACAGCACGAGUGAGCCCAGGGCAUAUGGGGACACAGGACACCACAGUGCAAGGCUUCCCUGUCACUAAGGUCUCGUAACGCCACUAAGCUUUGGGUACAACCCUGAGACAAAGCAAAGUUAGCCAUCAAAUCUUGUGUUUACAUUUCGUCCCAGGCUGCAAAACUACCCAAAGGUGAGUCUAAAGAGCUCACAAGGAACCCUCCACUGGGAAUAGGAUGCUGGAUGUUAUCUGUGUGCUAUAAUAUGAACAAACUUGUACUCAGUUUUUCUCGCUUGUUGCAGAGAUGUUAUUUUUACCAUUUUCCUAUACAGGAUUUCAAGAGUUACGUCAGUGUAUAGAGGUAGCAGUAUAGCAACCUUUGAAUUCUUUUCAGCUAAAUAUAAAACCCACAGAAAUUUCAGGAAAACACUGUAUAUGCAAUUUAUUGUGUCAGCAGAAUACUUUAAAUCUGUAUCCCACCUGAUGUAGGUGGUCUUCCCAAUAGAUAAGACCUAUGUGGCUUUGGGGGAAGAUGUCUUUGAGAACAUCAAGAUCCAAGUCAGGGGUUUGGAUCAGUAUGAAGCCUUCACUUCAGUGGGGUUUAGUGAUGUUCUUUCUUUAAGUUUGAUAACUAUAAUUACUGCAUCCUCUGGUGCUUUAAAAUCAAUCUUUAAGAGUGCCUAAUAAUUUCUAAAUAAGCUAUUAUGUAGGCGAUAACAGAAUGUGACCCUGUUUCUCACCCCAUAAUAAUUACUUGGCACUUGCAUUGGGCAAUUUCAAGAGAGUGAUUGAUAUCUUGACAAUUUAAGUCAUUUGUUUUUGAUUCUGUGAAAAGGAUCUUUAUAUGAGCAGGUCUCCAUAGUGAUUUGUGUAACACAUUCUUUCUGAAAUAUUUUGUAAACUGCUGGUCUUCAGAGCACACAAAUCCCAUAUAGGGAUCCCUUUUGUUACCAAUCAAGAAAUUCUUUAUCAGCUUUUGAACUAUUUCUGCUACUAUUUAUUUCUAAAUAAUUUUCCAUGUCUUCUAAGAAAGUUAUGAACACAGGUUUGAGCCCAUAAGACAACAGGAUGAGAGGGCCAGUGGUAAGGAUAUUUAACCUAGGAUUUGGGGGGUCCUUCUCCCUGUUCUGCCAUGCUUCUGGGAUUUCAGGAAUAUUGCUGAGACACCCAUUGCCUUUGGUUUCAAGUAGUAAGGCAGGAAUACCAUCAUUACAUUACUGUGUUUUACAAGGAUGAAUACACACACACUAUAGGACAGAAGACAUGUAGUGCCUUAUAGAUACUGAAUACCAUUUCUUCAUGUUCCUGAUUGACAGACUGAUGAGAGAUAGUAGUUGUUUAGCAUAAAUAAGUUUUAAGUAGACUGAGUUACACCGAGUUAUAAUAUUGUGUGAUUUAAUAUAGGUUUUUUGCUUUGCUUGCUUAGCAUGAGUACCUGGAUUACAUAAGCAAUCAAUUUUCUGACUCUUUCCACCUCACAAAUUGAUAGAGAAACAGAAACUACGAUCCUCAGAACUCUAUUUACUAACUGUGACAGCAGAAAUUACUGGUCAGGUAUUUGCAAAGCACUGUGAAAAGACUGUGCUCAUGGAGUAACAUGGGAACAGAUUCAUGAAGUGCAAGAAGAUGCUGAGGGAGGGACUAUGGCCCUUAUCCUCGUUCACUAUCACUUCAGUAGUGUGCAGGCUCUUUACUGAGACAUCAUUUCCCGUUUUCUGUGCCAUCUCUCACUGUACAUGAAGGAAAAACGAUGGCGAGGGCGUCGAGCUGUCGCCACAGGAGGCAAGGUGCGAAAACCCUUUGAAGAGUGACUG